GUAGUACUCCCUCCGUCCAAAAAUUCUUGUCUUACAUUUGUUUAGAUACAGAUGUAUCUAACACUAAAAUGUAACUAGAUACAUCCGUAUUUAGACAAAUUUAAGACAAGAAUUUCGGGACGGAGGGAUUACAAA
rnacentral:pre_miRNA from 1 species